CGAACGCUGGCGGCGUGCUUAACACAUGCAAGUCGAACGGAAAGGCCCUGCUUUUGUGGGGUGCUCGAGUGGCGAACGGGUGAGUAACACGUGAGUAACCUGCCCUUGACUUUGGGAUAACUUCAGGAAACUGGGGCUAAUACCGGAUAGGAGCUCCUGCUGCAUGGUGGGGGUUGGAAAGUUUCGGCGGUUGGGGAUGGACUCGCGGCUUAUCAGCUUGUUGGUGGGGUAGUGGCUUACCAAGGCUUUGACGGGUAGCCGGCCUGAGAGGGUGACCGGCCACAUUGGGACUGAGAUACGGCCCAGACUCCUACGGGAGGCAGCAGUGGGGAAUAUUGCACAAUGGGCGGAAGCCUGAUGCAGCAACGCCGCGCGCGGGAUGACGGCCUUCGGGUUGUAAACCGCUUUCGCCUGUGACGAAGCGUGAGUGACGGUAAUGGGUAAAGAAGCACCGGCUAACUACGUGCCAGCAGCCGCGGUGAUACGUAGGGUGCGAGCGUUGUCCGGAUUUAUUGGGCGUAAAGGGCUCGUAGGUGGUUGAUCGCGUCGGAAGUGUAAUCUUGGGGCUUAACCCUGAGCGUGCUUUCGAUACGGGUUGACUUGAGGAAGGUAGGGGAGAAUGGAAUUCCUGGUGGAGCGGUGGAAUGCGCAGAUAUCAGGAGGAACACCAGUGGCGAAGGCGGUUCUCUGGGCCUUUCCUGACGCUGAGGAGCGAAAGCGUGGGGAGCGAACAGGCUUAGAUACCCUGGUAGUCCACGCUGUAAACGGUGGGUACUAGGUGUGGGGUCCAUUCCACGGGUUCCGUGCCGUAGCUAACGCUUUAAGUACCCCGCCUGGGGAGUACGGCCGCAAGGCUAAAACUCAAAGGAAUUGACGGGGCCCCGCACAAGCGGCGGAGCAUGCGGAUUAAUUCGAUGCAACGCGUAGAACCUUACCUGGGUUUGACAUGGAUCGGGAGUGCUCAGAGAUGGGUGUGCCUCUUUUGGGGUCGGUUCACAGGUGGUGCAUGGCUGUCGUCAGCUCGUGUCGUGAGAUGUUGGGUUAAGUCCCGCAACGAGCGCAACCCUUGUUCACUGUUGCCAGCACGUUAUGGUGGGGACUCAGUGGAGACCGCCGGGGUCAACUCGGAGGAAGGUGGGGAUGACGUCAAGUCAUCAUGCCCCUUAUGUCCAGGGCUUCACGCAUGCUACAAUGGCUGGUACAGAGAGUGGCGAGCCUGUGAGGGUGAGCGAAUCUCGGAAAGCCGGUCUCAGUUCGGAUUGGGGUCUGCAACUCGACCUCAUGAAGUCGGAGUCGCUAGUAAUCGCAGAUCAGCAACGCUGCGGUGAAUACGUUCCCGGGGCUUGUACACACCGCCCGUCAAGUCAUGAAAGUUGGUAACACCCGAAGCCGGUGGCCUAACCGUUGUGGGGGAGCCGUCGAAGGUGGGACUGGU
rnacentral:rRNA from 1 species